CCCUUAACUCUGGGAUAAGCCUGGGAAACUGGGUCUAAUACCGGAUAGGAGCGUCCACCGCAUGGUGGGUGUUGGAAAGAUUUAUCGGUUUUGGAUGGACUCGCGGCCUAUCAGCUUGUUGGUGAGGUAAUGGCUCACCAAGGCGACGACGGGUAGCCGGCCUGAGAGGGUGACCGGCCACACUGGGACUGAGACACGGCCCAGACUCCUACGGGAGGCAGCAGUGGGGAAUAUUGCACAAUGGGCGCAAGCCUGAUGCAGCGACGCCGCGUGAGGGAUGACGGCCUUCGGGUUGUAAACCUCUUUCAGUAGGGAAGAAGCGAAAGUGACGGUACCUGCAGAAGAAGCACCGGCUAACUACGUGCCAGCAGCCGCGGUAAUACGUAGGGUGCGAGCGUUAUCCGGAAUUAUUGGGCGUAAAGAGCUCGUAGGCGGUUUGUCGCGUCUGUCGUGAAAGUCCGGGGCUUAACCCCGGAUCUGCGGUGGGUACGGGCAGACUAGAGUGCAGUAGGGGAGACUGGAAUUCCUGGUGUAGCGGUGGAAUGCGCAGAUAUCAGGAGGAACACCGAUGGCGAAGGCAGGUCUCUGGGCUGUAACUGACGCUGAGGAGCGAAAGCAUGGGGAGCGAACAGGAUUAGAUACCCUGGUAGUCCAUGCCGUAAACGUUGGGCACUAGGUGUGGGGACCAUUCCACGGUUUCCGCGCCGCAGCUAACGCAUUAAGUGCCCCGCCUGGGGAGUACGGCCGCAAGGCUAAAACUCAAAGGAAUUGACG
rnacentral:rRNA from 1 species